CCUGGCGGCCAUAGCCCUCUGGUCCCACGCCUUCCCAUCCCGAACAGGACCGUGAAACGGAGCGGCGCCGAUGAUAGUGUGCAGCGCGCACGCGAAAGUAGGUCACUGCCAGGC
rnacentral:rRNA from 1 species